rnacentral:rRNA from 1 species
UUGGAGGGCAAGUCUGGUGCCAGCAGCCGCGGUAAAUCCAGCUCCAAUAGCGUAUAUUAAAGUUGUUGCAGUUAAAAAGCUCGUAGUUGAAUUACGGGAUCAAUGUUUCGGUCAUGCCGUUGGUAUGUACUGAUAUUAUUGAUUUCUCACCUUCUAAAGAACCGUAAUGCCAUUAAUUUGGUGUCACGGGGAAUUAGGACUGUUACCUUGAAAAAAUUAGAGUGUUUAAAGCAGGCUCACGCUUGAAUACAUUAGCAUGGAAUAAUGAAAUAGGACAUCCGAUUCUAUUUUGUUGGUUUCUAGGAUCGAUGUAAUGAUUAAUAGGGAUAGUUGGGGGCAUUAGUAUUCAAUUGUCAGAGGUGAAAUUCUUGGAUUUAUUGAAGACUAACUACUGCGAAAGCAUUUGCCAAGGAUGUUUUCAUUAAUCAAGAACGAAAGUUAGGGGAUCGAAGACGAUCAGAUACCGUCGUAGUCUUAACCAUAAACUAUGCCGACUAGGGAUCGGAUGAUGUUAAUUUUUUAAUGACCCACUCGGCGCCUUACGGGAAACCAAAGUGUUUGGGUUC